rnacentral:lncRNA from 1 species
UGUACGUAUGAGAUUAUGUGUUUGUACCUGAAAAGGCGCAAUGGUACUUUGUACCACUUUUUGAGCAUAGGAUUCUCCUUUUUUCCUUGUCUCUUGCUUGCACAAGGGACAUAGUAUGAAGUAUUUCUCUAUGUGCCCUUUUUAAACUUCCACUUGUUUUUGGAUUGGUGGUAAGAUCUUCAACUUUUCCUGUUUUUACCUAAUGAUUGG